rnacentral:rRNA from 1 species
UGGUCAACUCUUUGGACACUCGUAAACAGGUGGUGCAUGGUUGUCGUCAGCUCGUGUCGUGAGAUGUUGGGUUAAGUCCCGCAACGAGCGCAACCCUCGUUCUAUGUUGCCAGCACGUAAUGGUGGGAACUCAUGGGAUACUGCCGGGGUCAACUCGGAGGAAGGUGGGGAUGACGUCAAAUCAUCAUGCCCCUUAUGUCUUGGGCUUCACGCAUGCUACAAUGGCCGGUACAAAGGGCUGCAAUACCGUAAGGUGGAGCGAAUCCCAAAAAGCCGGUCCCAGUUCGGAUUGAGGUCUGCAACUCGACCUCAUGAAGUCGGAGUCGCUAGUAAUCGCAGAUCAGCAACGCUGCGGUGAAUACGUUCCCGGGUCUUGUACACACCG